CCUAUAUCUAGUGUUUUUAAUAUCGUACUCCGGACUCUACAAAUUUGGCGACGAGAAAAAAAAAAAGUUAUAAAUUUUCUAGUGAAUAUAGUGACCCAGGAAGAAAAUAACCUGGCUGUUUUGCUACGAAUUUCGGCGUUAAAAGAGACCAAGCAGACCGAGAAAGGAACGACCGAACGGAUCGAAGACCAUCCACGUUUUCCAGUACGGAAAAUUUGUUCACCCGACGGCCGCCAUCUUUUUCAUCAGUACGGACACUUACUCGAAGAGGAUUACAGGAUUGUGCGGUUUUUCCGGUGGAAAUCCGACCGGGUGUGCUUUUCCCAGAACUUUUCCAUUCUGUGACAAAACGGUCGGUUAGUGGAGUUUUUACCGGUAAUCCGGACCAUAUCGUUGUAAAUUCGGAAGCCGGAAAUCCGAGCAAGCGCGGUAAAGAAAUUGGAAGCCGGAAAUCCGAGCAACAGCAGUUGUGGUACUAAUUGGAAACGCCAGCGCAAUGGCGCAUAAGAACCAAUUGCGAGUGAUGAAGGAUUCUGGGUGGCAACCACGGGUAGUACUAACCCGCGGCGAACCAGAUAGUACAGUAGAAGAUCAGACAAAUGUCGAAAGGGAACACGCUAUGGAUUUUGGAAACGUUGACGAUUAUUCGGAAGAUCCUAGGGGAUCAUCGACGAACCGCAAAAGAAGACAUCAUGAAGGCUCGGAUAAACUAGAAAUGACUUCGAACGGUCUCCGAAGGUCGAAACGUCGACGUAAAGAGAAGAAGGACAGUGAUUAUAUUUAUGAGUGAAGUUACACUUUUCUGAAGUUUCUCGAUUAAU